rnacentral:tRNA from 1 species
UGAGGUGUAGCUCAGAGGCAGAGCAACAGACUGUUAAUCUGUGGGUCGAGGUAUCGUAAUCCUCCACCUCAG